UCAGAUGCUGAUAAAUGAAACUUAGGAUAUCAGGUUUAGAGAUUGUACUGUAUUAGUCCUGAUGCUUAUGUGAUUAAUUGUUCAUGAUAUUGUUGAGAUGAACAAAACAUGUUGAAGUUGUUUGGUGGAUGCCCAGUGUGUAUUCAAAGUGUGUUGUGCUGCAUCUUAAAAAAUCCUUGCGAAAUGUCACAAGUCAUGAAAUGUAGAGCAUUCUCAGAGAUACUUCGGGGUCGUGAUGGUGAAGAUGAUCUUCAGGAAGAGUCAUCUCAUCAAAAUUACAUUUUGUAAUACUAAAUUAUAUUACAAUUUGGGCACACUUAGCCUGAAAUCUGACUCGAUAGUUUGAAGCAAGCCACACUUUAAGUUGUCUUGUUUUUAUGACUGGUAGUUGACAUUUAAUAGACGAGGGUGGAAAAGCUGUUAUUGGUAUGUGUUGGAAUUUUGUGCCCACGAUUGAGGUAGAGCUGCCUGUUACAGGUUGACUAUGCCUAAUCUGGAAAUCCAAAAUAUUUCAAAAUCCAAAAUUGGGCCCAUGGGUUGCUGAGAAAAUGACACCUUUGCUUUCAGGUGGUUCAGUGUACACAAACUUUGUUUCGUGCAUAAAUUAUUGAAAUAUUGUAUAUAAAACUACUUUUAUGAUAUUUGUAGGAGGUAUAUAGAAUUUUAAUGUUUAGACUUGGGUCCUAUCUCCAAUUAUGUACAGUAUAUACAAGUGUUCCAAAAUAUAAAACACUUUUGAUGCCAUGCAUUUCAGAUACGGGAUACUCAACUUGUAUAGUUAAUGAAGGAAUAGCUUCUAUGAAAAUCAUUCUUAGUGAGCCUCAUGGGAGGCAAAGAAGAGUUAUGUGUUGCCCUGUUUUCAUAUUCAUUUUCCCAUCCUCUCUGCUGCUCAUCAGUUGGGUUUCCUGUCCCUAAGUGGCCAGCAUGAAAAGGACUUUGGAAUUAGUUGGCCCAGUUUCCCUAUGGUGCUUGUUUGUCCAUGCUUAUGAUAUCCAUGUGAGAAUCUCUGCACCCUUCCCUUCAUAAGAUAAGUGAGAUUGCCUGUUUAAAUCUAAUUACUUAUCCCAAUAAGAAUAGAUCCACUGAAUUAGAUGAAUUCAAUAUCCAUUAAUUAAUUCAAAAUUAACCAAUAGGAUGCAGUCCUUUGUGUGUUGUCAUUAUCUUCACAAAAAUAGUUUUAGACAUACAACUCAAACGAAUGGAAAAAAAUGACAACAGAUUGAGCUAUGAGUAAACACAUUAAAAAUACUGUUAUAAUUCAUGGUUUAUAUCCCUCUGUGGGCUUAUUAUUCAUGACUCUUUCAAUCAGCUAAGUAUUUUUGUUAUUAUUGCUGUGGCCAUGGAAAGAUAUGAUGAUGAUGAUUGUUAGCCAGGAAGUGACAUGCGUGUGUGUGAAUGAGAGUGAGGGAGAGAGCUCAGCCAUGGGAAGUGAGUCUUAGAACUCCUCUUGCAAAAUGAAUGGUGAACAAUUUUCUUGCCAAGGUGUGAUUUCUUUUUCAAGUCAACGGCAAGUCAGGGUGAAUUAUUUGAUACCUUUUUCUGAUUAAUUGAUACAUUUUUAUGAUUUUACUAGCAGUACAAGAGCUUAACUAUGGUGUUUCAUCUUGGUAUUCAAGUAUAAUUAGCGUAAUCAUGUAAUUAAAGAUGUUCUAGUGAGUUGCAGUAUAAUGUUCAUAAUGUUAGUAGCAAGGUAUGACAAUCCCACAAAUUAUUAUACCAUAACCAGAACUAGUAGAUGUGUAUGUGUGCACACAUUCAGGGGUGUUUCAGAGUACAUGGCUGAAUGGCAAGCUUGAAUGUGCAACAUGUUUUGGAAACAACAUAGGAAGUGCUGCUAGCUCAGUGUUCACCCAGUUUCCAUGUGCUAAUUUGAAUUUGUUUGAAAACUUAGUUUUAAUAAUUGGUGUAUUAUUUAGAUGUUUUAAUUCUAGAUUUUAAUGUAUUUAUUUAUUUAAUUGUAUAUUGUUUUUAUGGCAUUGAACUGUUGCCUAUGUGUAAAGCCACAACCUAAAUAAUAGUGAAAAAAUCAGCCCCCAAAACCAAGGUCAGCUUAUCUAUGGAUCAUUGUACAUACUGUACCUUACCUGUUACCAAAGUAGGAACCAUUUCCUUCUCUGGACAGAGUGGGGAAAAGCAAAAGCUGAUUAUCUCCAUCCACUAUUGCACUUCUGGCCUGACUAAGUGCUUGAGUGGAAAUAUGGCGACUUUAGCAGCAAAGGAUGACUGGCACCCAGAAACAAGACUCAUGUUUUCCCCUCUCUGUGAAACAACCCUUCAUCUAUCCGCAGGUCAUAUAAAACCCACAAUUUGGGCCUGCAAACUUGCCUUCAACUUACAUAGGAGAUUAAUUUAUACGUGAGUAUAUAUAGUGUACUUGGAAAUAAACAUGGUUAGGAUCAGACUGUUAAUUUCAACUUGUCCAGACCUUCCAAGAUGAUUAGAAAGAAAAUGCAAAUAUUUAACUCCCAAAGUAAGAAAUACUGUAGAAUUUCACCCAAUCGAGGAGAUACUGACACCUAUGCCAUUAUUAUAAGAGCCACCUAGAAUAAGUCAUAAUCUUUAUUUAUUCGGUAAUCUCAAGAAAAACACAUUUUUCCAGUUCUCAUAAAGCUUUUAUUAGACCCUGUAGGUUUACUCUCCAAACCACUGGUGUUACUAAAGGGUUAAAUGGCUUUUCAAAAAUUGUGUUCUUGCCUAACCAAACUUCAUGACCUAGCCAGGUUUUUUUCCAACUGAUUACACUUUGCUACAUUAUAAUGGAGCCGAUGCAUUUGUGUCUCAAGACCAUACGCUACUAUAUCCUGACAUGUUAAACAUCUCCUGUGGCUCACCAUACGCAUCAGGGAUGAGGACCUCCCUCUGUUUUCUCAUUAUGCCAAACAGUGAAAUGUGGAAAUAAUUCUAAUCCUUUCUUCUGCUUCUGUGGUACUCUGAAAAAUGUGAUAAACUGAAUCCAAUUAAAAGUCAUUACCGCUACAA